rnacentral:rRNA from 1 species
UGCCAGCCGCCGCGGUAAUACGAAGGGGGCUAGCGUUGUUCGGAAUUACUGGGCGUAUAGCGCACGUAGGCGGACUUUUAAGUCAGAUGUGAAAUCCCGGGGCUCAACCUCGGAACUGCAUUUGAAACUGGAAGUCUGGAGUUCAGGAGAGGUUAGUGGAAUACCGAGUGUAGAGGUGAAAUUCGUAGAUAUUGGGAAGAACACCAGUGGCGAAGGCGGCUAACUGGCUCGGUACUGACGCUGAGAUGCGAAAGCGUGGGGAGCAAACAGGAUUAGAUA